rnacentral:sRNA from 1 species
UAAUUUGAUUCAUUGUGUUGAAUGGUC